rnacentral:lncRNA from 1 species
ACGGUAGAAGUCAAAGAUAUUUCAAUAUGUUGAAAUAUCACAGAAUAUAGCCCUAAAUCAAUCAAGUUGAAAACUGUCAGAAACUUAAAUCAGCCAUGUAGGAGGGCCUGGAGGGCUUUUUCUCUCCCCAGGAUAAAUGUGUUUCACAUGGUGACAGACACCCUAAAUCUGGAUUGUUGUUCCACAGAUUAUUUACCUUUGUGGCUCUUCAUCUCUAAAUGGAUAAAGAACCAAAAAUAUCUGCCCUUGGUGAAUCCCAAAUAAUAGAGGAAGGUUAAUGAGCUGAUCAGGAGGGACCUGAGUGGGAAUCAGUUUGCAGGAGCCUAAAUCAGAGUGGCUGUCAGAGGGCACAAGGAGUGUCCAGAGUGGAGUUUCUCAUGGCUGUGCCCUUACUGUGAGGAUGAAAUGUUGAUCUUUAUCAUGUCUGAGCUAUCUGCAGAAUCUCCUUCCUGACUGCUGAGCUUUCUGAACAUAUCCUGCAGCACUGGCACAAAAAAAAAGUUCUAUUUUCUAACUUGGAAAGAUCCAUCCCACCCAGCACUGCAGGCUUUGGAGAAGGUCACAGCCACCAACUUCUUGUCUUCAUCCUGGACUUCAUCCUUCAUGCUGGAGCUGGAGGAAGCUCAAUGAUAAUUUAUAUCAGGAGCUAUAAAUCCCCAGACCACAGGAAAUGGCAUCAUCAAUUUCCAUCAAUUUUACUGCUGCACAAAUAAUGUGCUGCUAUAGUUCUUCCACAGGUCAGUUCCUGCAUGAGGUACAUUGACUGCAGGGAUGUAAACUGUAAAUAAACAGUGGCAUAAUUUAUCUUCUCUGAUAUUA